rnacentral:rRNA from 1 species
UCGGGAAUUUUGGGCAAUGGGGGAAACCCUGACCCAGCAACGCCGCGUGAAGGAUGAAGUUUUUCGGAAUGUAAACUUCGAAAGAAUGGGAAGAAUCAAUGACGGUACCAUUUAUAAGGUCCGGCUAACUACGUGCCAGCAGCCGCGGUAAUACGUAGGGACCAAGCGUUGUUCGGAUUUACUGGGCGUAAAGGGCGCGUAGGCGGCGUGUUAAGUCAGCUGUGAAAUCUCUGAGCUCAACUCAGAACGGCCAGCUGAUACUGAUGUGCUAGAGUGCAGAAGGGGCAAUCGGAAUUCUUGGUGUAGCGGUGAAAUGCGUAGAUAUCAAGAGGAACACCUGAGGUGAAGACGGGUUGCUGGGCUGACACUGACGCUGAGGCGCGAAAGCCAGGGGAGCAAAC